rnacentral:pre_miRNA from 1 species
AAGUCUGUUGUUGUAAACAUCCCCGACUGGAAGCUGUACGACAGAGCUAAGCUUUCAGUCCGAUGUUUGCUGCUACCGGCUC